CAGCGGGAGCAUGCGCAGUGCGUCCCUGAGGCGGCCAAUGGUUUGUCAGGCGCACGCGCAAGCCGCCAUUUUCCUCGAGCCGCCGGCGAUCGGACGGAACGUCGGCUCCCAACGGUCGCGGAGAGGAGCUCGGGGAUGUUACAAAAGGAUUUGCAAGCAGGAAUCUGAAAUCAAACGUCACGUGACGGAUUCAACUGUUCAUCAGAACUGUAUUAGAAGCUUUUUGCUCUAACUAUCCAUUUCCAGAGCCUCAACAUCUGUCGUCAUCCCAUGUGCCCUACUCCUGGCAGUCUUGGCCUUCACACUAAGAGGGACAUGCUGAUCCUGAACUCUUGUUUUCUUGCUUUUGAAAGCCUCUCACUUACCGGACCUUUACCAAUAAACAACUUUUGAGCGUUCCUGUCGAGCACCAUCAAAGUUGGCCGAGCUUCAAUUUCGAACUUGUGGGCCAAGCCUAUCUCUUCCAAAGCAAUUUUAUAACUAAUAGAAUUGUGGUCACUGGUCCAAAAGUGCUAGGCUAACACCGGAGUCACUCGGCCUGAAUUAUUUCCCAGGAGGAGGUCAAGUUAUUGCCCCAUCUCUUGUCAGGCGCUGAGGGCAUCUUGUGGGUGUUUAUGCUCCCAUGUGUCUGCUGCUUUUGACCUUCAAGAUGGAAGUAGCUGUGAAUUUGUAGCUGAUGUCUUUGAAGACCUGAGGCUGAAGUCUGUCAGGACCGAGAGAUGGGUUUCAGAGGUGCUGUCCAAGAAGCCUAGGUGAAUUUCUGCAGUGUUUAUUUCUGGAUGCAACACACUUGCUACAGAGUGCUGGUGGUGGAGUAAGGAGAUGUUUGUGGAUGUGAUGCCAGUCAAGCGUGCUGCUUUGUCCUGCAUAAUGUCAAGCUUAUUGAGGGUUGCUGACGCUCCACUCUUCCAGGCAAGUGGGGAGUACUCCAUUACACCUCUGGCUUGUGCCUUGAAGAUAUGGACAGACUUCAGGGAGUCACUGACCUUCUCACUGUCGGAUUUCUAGCCUCUGACCUGCUCCUCGACCCACUUAUUUAUACGGCUUGUUCCAUUUCUGGUCAAAGUUAACUGCCAGCAAGUUGAGAGUGGGAAUUCAGUGCUAGUGUUGAAUGUCAAGAGAUGAUGUUUAGACUCCAUACUGUGAAGCAAAUCUUGCUGUUAUAAGUAUUUCCAAGGCUUUGCUGCUGGUGUGGCUCCUUUACUGUCGAUCUCGCCCAUGUCCAUCCAUUGCUGUGCUUCAGUUAUAGAGUCACAGAGACGUACAGCACGGAAACAGACCCGUCAGUCCAAGUCGUCCAUGCUGACCAA